CAACACGAACAAAUUCCCUCGUCAAAAGUCCUGGCCUCGCAGUGACAGUCGAACGCCGUCCAAGCAGUUUGUCCAGCAACUACUUCGGGGCUGAAUUAUCAUCUUAUUGGAUACUGGUGCAUACUAGUCAAUGUACCGGUAACUUGCAUUAUAUUUAAAAUGUCGGCAAGCCGCGUUCCAGGAGAUGAUGAGAUUGACCUCGCCACAGCAACUGCAAUUGCGUCAGCAGUGGGUGAGGAGGGAAUGGACGUGAAUAUGGCGACGUGUUCAUUCCAUAAAAUAAAGUGGCUAUACCUGGAAAAGGAGGACUUGAGCAUCCCCAUUGUGACGCAGAAUGAAAACGGACCCUGUCCACUUCUAGCUCUUAUCAAUGCUUUAUGUUUGUCACGGAGAAUGCGGCUAACGCCUGGGAAGAUGUCUAUUUCUGGCCAGCAACUGAUCGAAACUUUGUUCGCCUAUUUACUUGAGAAUCAGCCGCAGGAGAUGACAGAGGCACAGAAACUGAACUACGAGCGCAAUGUGCAAGACGCAAUGGCUGUUUCACGGCAUCUACUGACAGGCCUGAAUAUGAAUGUCAAGAUGAGCAGGGUGGAUCAGUUUGAGUACACACCCGAGAUGAUCAUAUUUGACCUGGUCGGUGUCAACCUGUACCAUGGUUGGCUAGUGGAGCCAGGCUCCAGUAUUCACAGCGAUCUGCUGGCUACGCUCACAUACAACACAAUGGUGGAGAAGGCCAUCGCAGCCACAGAAGACCUGCCCAUGGAUGCUACAGAGGCACAGCAGGAAGCCUGGACGGAGCAGCGGAGUAUUGGUACUGCGGCGAAGGAUUUCUUGGACCAGUCAGCUAGCCAAUUGACUGUGCAUGGUCUUCUGGAGCUGAAGCGCGCCUUGACAGACGGUCAGACAAGCGUAUUCUUCCGCAACAAUCAUUUCAGUACUCUGUACAAGCAAAAUGGUAAUCUGUAUGUUCUAGUAACGGAUCAAGGCUACUUUGACGAGCAUCAAGUAGUGUUCGAAAGCCUUAAUGAUGUACAUGGUAGCAGUGCUUUCUAUGACCAUAACCUCACCGAGGUGACGGCUGCGUUGCAAAACAGAGCGAAGGAAGCAGCUGCUGCGCAAUCUUCUAAUCAAGGAUCUGUCGGGGCAACAGCGGCGGUUGCACCAUCAUCGGUGGGUGCUGCGACAACUGGACUGGCAUCUACGCAGGAAGAUCAGGACUACUUGCUGGCGUUGACACUGCGCGACGAAGAAUCAGCUGCAGCUGCGCGUGGGCAAGCAGCAGGCAGUGGUACAGCAGCGGCUACAAGCAGCAACACCGUGGCGGUAUCCUUACCCACCGCACACGGUGUGCCCCCGGCCGAAGUGCCUCGGCAAGAAGCGGCCGCCACAUGCCGCCCUGUGCAGGAAAGCUCCGGCUUGAUUCCGGUCUCCGUGAGCCGUCCGUCCACGCAAGCACACCAGGCCGUAGCUAACGUGCCCGCAGCAACGGACGGCGGUUUGCCCGCGGCCGAUCAUGCAGCACCUUGUCCUGUUCUUACUGCUGAUCAGCUGACCAGUGCGAUUGCCAUGGCAACUGCCGCUAUCCAGCCUACCCAAUCACAAUCAGGUCCCACCCAGCCUACCCAAGAGGAUCUAGAUAUGCAAGUAGCACGAGAGCUUCAAGCAGCCUUGGAUCAGGACGUUGCCAUGGAACUCCAUCGGCAAGAAGAAACUCUGCGUUUGCAGGAGGAAGAAGUGCAACUUCGACAGACGCAACCUUCUACGGCUCAGGUUUCCGAACUGCAGCAGCAGCAGCAACAGCAACAAGGACAGCAGCAGCAGCAGCAGGGACAGCAACGGCAGCGGCAACCUGGACAGGGAUCUGGGGAUGGACGUUCACCUCAUCCAAGUCAAGGGACGUAAGUUGGAAGAUGGCUGGCUGAUGGACUGAAGUUUUGUUGGCACUUGCGCGUCCUCAUCUGGAAUGCAAAACACACAAAUGAGGACUCCUGUUGCCUGUUGUGAUAGAGAGAGGCGUUGCUGCCUCCUCACUUGCUCACGUGUAACGCCAUUGUCUUCCUGUUGGGGUAGGCUCUGUCCGGAACAUGCAUGUUCCCCACUGCCCUGUGUGUAGCUGCAUCUUGCACUAGAGCAUGCUAACAGUCCUAUCGUUGCCAAGACGAUUUUCAGCUGCCGAUUGUCACUGUGUACCAGUGGUAACUCUGCUCAUUUCAUACACUCUACUCCCUGGCCGCUCUUCGUGAAUUUUACGAUUUUCAGCUGGUGGACGCCGCUGGCCUCCUCUCUCAUUGGUGCUGCACCAGUUGUUUUAGCUCAUUUGACUUCGUGUUGCUGAACUUUUUGUGCAUUUAUUUACAGUGUCUGUCCGGCGAAAUCCCGUUUUAUUAAACAGUUCUCUCUAUAUCAGUACUGGCCUCACUAUAUUUUUCUACUAACCUGCACAUAGUCACACAUGCUGGUCAAGUCAUAAAAUUCUUUUUGCUUUUCUUCGUUUGUUUGGUCUUUUGUCUCGGAGCUCCAUAUCAAUUUUUAUAUUGUGUUUUCGAUAAAGGUUUUGACUCUGUCCAGUUUGGACAAACUCUGUGACUGUUGCCCAAGCGCACAUAGCAGUCAUGUCUUUACGCUGAUUAUUUCAUUCUAGACUCCUACGAAUCAAUGUCCAGUUCGAGCCGCUAUAAGAAAGAGUCCACAUGGUGGAAAGAACACCAAGCUAAGAUUGACUUCUUUCUCUUGUUGUUCUGAAUGAUGUGAUUGUCACUGUGUGCUGAGCUGAGGUGGCUUGUGAAUGCUUCUUCGGGUAGCUGCAGCUGUUGUUACAAAUGGCAAUGUCCAAUAAGAGUGUUUGUUUGAAUUUGAUUUCUUUAUUCGUUGUUUAAAUUGAAUUCUUUAUUCUCACGAUGGCACCAUCAUCAGUAAGAGAA